rnacentral:rRNA from 1 species
GACAGAGGGUGCAAACGUUGUUCGGAAUUACUGGGCGUAAAGUGUGUGUAGGCGGCCAUGCAAGUCGGAUGUGAAAGCCCUGGGCUCAACCCAGGAAGUGCACUCGAUACUGCGUGGCUUGAGUGUGGGAGAGGUUGGUGGAAUUCUCGGUGUAGAGGUGAAAUUCGUAGAUAUCGAGAGGAACACCGGCGGCGAAGGCGGCCAACUGGACCAAUACUGACGCUGAGACACGAAAGCGUGGGGAGCAAACAGG